rnacentral:rRNA from 1 species
UACGUAGGGUCCGAGCGUUGUCCGGAAUUAUUGGGCGUAAAGGGCUCGUAGGCGGUCCGUCACGUCGGGAGUGAAAACUCAGGGCUCAACCCUGAGCGUGCUUCCGAUACGGGCGGACUAGAGGUAUGCAGGGGAGAACGGAAUUCCUGGUGUAGCGGUGAAAUGCGCAGAUAUCAGGAGGAACACCGGUGGCGAAGGCGGUUCUCUGGACAGUUCCUGACGCUGAGGCACGAAGGUCAGGGGAGCAAACGGG